AGGGCACCACCAGGAGUGGAGCCUGCGGCUUAAUUUGACUCAACACGGGAAAACUCACCCGGCCCGGACACUGGAAGGAUUGACAGAUUGAGAGCUCUUUCUUGAUUCAGUGGGUGGUGGUGCAUGGCCGUUCUUAGUUGGUGGAGCGAUUUGUCUGGUUAAUUCCGAUAACGAACGAGACUCUAGCCUACUAAAUAGAUCGUUGUUUUACAAACAACAGCGAGACUUCUUAGAGGGACAGGCGGUGAUUCAACCGCACGAAACAGAGCAAUAACAGGUCUGUGAUGCCCUUAGAUGUCCGGGGCCGCACGCGCGCUACACUGAAGUGAUCAGCGUGCUUGUCCCAUUGCCGAAAGGCAUUGGUAAACCCUUGAAAAUCCUCCGUGAUCAGGAUCGGGAAUUGCAACUAUUUCCCUUGAACAAGGAAUUCCCAGUAAGUGUGAGUCAUCAGCUCACGCUGAUUACGUCCCUGCCCUUUGUACACACCCCCCGUCGCUGCCCGGGACUGAUCCAUUUCGA
rnacentral:rRNA from 1 species